rnacentral:rRNA from 1 species
GAUGAACGCUGGCGGCGUGCUUAACACAUGCAAGUCGAACGGAGCACUAUAUAUGAUUUCCUCCGGGGCGGAUCAUGUUGUGAAUGAGUGGCGGACGGGUGAGUAACGCGUGGGUCACCGGCCUUGUAGAGGGGGAUAAUAGGUGGAUACGGCUGCCAACAUCGCAGAAAAGGACAGCAUCCUACGAAGCAGUGUGAAAAACUCCGGCUGAAUAGGUUGGAGCCGCGUGGGGCUAGCUAGUUGGUGAGGUAACGGCACACGUAGGCGACGAUCCAUACCCGACCUGUGAGGGUGACCGGCCACACUUGGACUGGGACACGGCCCGCACUACUACGCGAGGCAGCCGUGGGGAAUAUUGCACAAUGGGCUGAGGCAUGAAGCCGCGACGCCUCGUGAGCGAAUUAGUAUUUCGGUAUAUACAGCUCUAUCAUAAGGGAAUAUAAUGACGGUACCUGACUAAGAAGCACCGGCUAACUACGUG